rnacentral:lncRNA from 1 species
AGAUAGAGACAGCCAGCGAGAGAGGGAACACAGCAGGGGGAGUGGGAGAGGAAGAAGCAGGCUCCCAGCGGAGGAGCCCGAUGCGGAACUAGAUCCCGGAACACCAGGACCACGCCCUGAGCCGAAGGCAGACGCUUUAACGACUGCGCUACCCAGGCGCCCCCAAAGUCAGAUUUUAAAUUGAUGAAACAGCUCUCUCCCGGAAGCCAAUUAGGAGUUCGGACAUUGAAUCUGGCCCGAGAUGCUAUCAGGCGUCCCCAGGGCAGGGAGGCUGCCCAUCACGCUCUGACACGCCUGGGGAGUAACCUUCGGAGACUUUACAAGGUUCCCCUGUUCUUACCAGGAGCAGAAUUUGACCUUGCUUAUCAGAGUGCACAUGGACAAACAGGACUAAGGCGCUACGCCCGCUACACGGCAACUCCCCAUUUCUCCCCCCGCCCAGCUCUGGCAACCUCCACUCGCCUUUUUGUGCCGAUGAACCGCCUACUUCAGUUACUUCAUAAACGUGGAAUCAUACAGUAUCUUUUCGCAACUGGCUCGCUGCCCUCAGCAGCGAGUCCUCGAGCUCCAUUCGCGCUGCAGGCAAGGCUGCGGAGAAGCUGGACCGCUCGGAACACUGCCGGUGGGGAUGCAACAUGGUGCAGCUGCUGUGCAAAGCAGAAAAAAAAGUUAAAACACAGAAUUAUGACUUGGCGAUUCGAAGCCUAGAUAGAUACCCAAAAGAAUUAAAAGCAGGCACUCAAGCAAAUGUACGUAUACACACGUUCAUAGCAACACUACUCACGAGAGCCAGAAGGUGGGAUCAGCCCCAAUGUCCAUCAAUGGAUGAAUGGAUAAGCAAACAGGGACAUAUACACACAAUGAAUUAUGCAGCUAUAAAAGGAAUGAAGUAUUGCUACAUGGGACGUGAGCCUCCAAAACACCAUGCUAAGUGAAAGAAGCCAGGCACGAAAAGGCACAUAUUGCACGAUUCCAUUUAUACGAGAAAUCCCACAUAGGUAAAUCCGUAGAGACAGAAAGCAGAUUGGUGGUUGCCAGGGGCCGGGGGGAGAGGGAAGUGCAGAGGGACUGCUUAAUGGGUGUCGGAUUUCCUUUGGGGGGGAUGGAAAUGUUUCAGAACUAGAUAGAGUUGUGGUUACCCAACACUGUGAAUGUACUAAAUGCCGCUGAAUUGUACACUUUGCAAAGGUUAAUUUUAUGUUCUGUGAAUUUCACUUUAAUAAAGGGAAUAUUGAAACGUCUGUAACGACCUAA